GUCAGACUUAUCUCAUGUUCCACAGAUUGCUGACCUCUGUUUUAUCUCUUUAAAUUUUCACAGUAAGCUGCAUGAGAUAAUUACGUUGUCCCAUGUUGCAGAUGAGUGUUGCAGAGCCUUAAUAUUUAUCUGAAUCUCCGGCCAUCAGGCAAUACUCUCCAGGGAAAGAAUCCCCUUGCUGAACUUUGCAAAACCUAGAAGAGAUACAAAAAGAGAUCCGUCUUUCACAUAUGCAGGAUGGUGCACAAUAUACCUUGAUAAUCCCACAGAUUACUGUAAACAGAGCUGGAGAAAUCACGCGGUGACUGGGAAGAUGCGAUGUGAAUCCUGCUCAUUACCUAAGACACGACUUCCGUUGUAAUUAUCUACCUAUCACAAUCGUUUCCUUCUGCUGUCUCCUGCUUACCUGCUGCCACACACGUACCUCAUUAAGAUUCGGCCAGCCCAGCACCAUUUGUACUGCUAACCUCUGAGCAAAGUGGGGUCAUUACUUCAUCAUGAUGGAUUUUGUGAUAACACAACAACUUGCAUCAAGGAUUCAUAUUUCUCUUUUCUUCAUUUAUGGUUAAAUUAAAAAUUAGUCUAACA
rnacentral:lncRNA from 1 species